UUACUUGGGGUGCUGUAUUGUGGGGAAAUGGUUAAUUAUAAGUUCAGUUUUCGCAUUGUUGAUUGUCUCGCUUAAUAUUUUUAAUUUGUUGUUAAAAGUUUCUGGUAUCUAAUAUGGAAUAGAAGUUAAUGGGAAACAUCCUAUAUCCUUAUAAUUUUGCUAGUGUAGUUGAACUAUAUUUUGCCGGAUUAAUGCAUAAUUUGGAUACUGAACAUACCUAUUAGGCCAUUCUGCUUUUAUUUGGACUUAUUAAAGACAGGUACUUUUGUUUGUAUAAAAAUUUCACCAUUCCCAAAACAUGAAAAAUAAAAAAUAAUGAAAAAUCUAAUUAAAAAUAAAUAUGCAAUACAUUUCAGAAAACCUAAUCACUGUCGCCCAUAGUUCAAUAUCCAAAAAAAUCUUAUCAUUUCGUUUCCAUAUGUCUUGGAAGGCUUUGUAUUUGUUAUUUGACUACAAUAUUAAACAAAAAUAGUCUCCACUUAUUACAUUUGGGGCUGGACGCCUUUGCUUAUAGAAAUAAUUUGAUUUACAAAAUAUUUUAAAGACCUUAGGGAAACAUAUUCAGUAGCUUUAGUAAGUUAGGAGAAUAAAGCCUGAACAACUAUAUUUUCUGCUUUGACG
rnacentral:misc_RNA from 1 species